CAUGCGUCUGCUUACCAUGCAAGUCGAACGGGCGUAGCAAUACGUCAGUGGCAGACGGGUGAGUAACGCGUGGGAACGUACCUUUUGGUUCGGAACAACUGAGGGAAACUUCAGCUAAUACCGGAUAAGCCCUUACGGGGAAAGAUUUAUCGCCGAAAGAUCGGCCCGCGUCUGAUUAGCUAGUUGGUGAGGUAAUGGCUCACCAAGGCGACGAUCAGUAGCUGGUCUGAGAGGAUGAUCAGCCACAUUGGGACUGAGACACGGCCCAAACUCCUACGGGAGGCAGCAGUGGGGAAUAUUGGACAAUGGGCGCAAGCCUGAUCCAGCCAUACCGCGUGGGUGAAGAAGGCCUUCGGGUUGUAAAGCCCUUUUGUUGGGAAAGAAAAGCAUUCGGUUAAUACCCGAUUGUUCUGACGGUACCCAAAGAAUAAGCACCGGCUAACUUCGUGCCAGCAGCCGCGGUAAUACGAAGGGUGCAAGCGUUACUCGGAAUUACUGGGCGUAAAGCGUGCGUAGGUGGUUGUUUAAGUCUGUCGUGAAAGCCCUGGGCUCAACCUGGGAAUUGCGAUGGAAACUGGGCGACUAGAGUGUGGCAGAGGGUAGUGGAAUUCCUGGUGUAGCAGUGAAAUGCGUAGAGAUCAGGAGGAACAUCCGUGGCGAAGGCGACUGCCUGGGCCAACACUGACACUGAGGCACGAAAGCGUGGGGAGCAAACAGGAUUAGAUACCCUGGUAGUCCACGCCCUAAACGAUGCGAACUGGAUGUUGGGUGCAAUUUGGCACGCAGUAUCGAAGCUAACGCGUUAAGUUCGCCGCCUGGG
rnacentral:rRNA from 1 species